AGGCCUAUAACUCAGUUGGUAGAGUGUUUGCCUUACAAGCAAAGAGCCAUCGGUUCGAGUCCGAUUGGGCCUA
rnacentral:tRNA from 1 species